rnacentral:rRNA from 1 species
GGGCCCGCACAAGCGGUGGAUCAUGUGGUUUAAUUCGAUGCAACGCGAAAAACCUUACCUACCCUUGAAAUCCAGCGAAGUUCUUAGAGAUAAGAAUGUGCCUUCGGGAACGCUGUGACAGGUGUUGCAUGGCUGUCGUCAGCUCGUGUCGUGAGAUGUAUGGUUAAGUCCAGUAACGAGCGCAACCCCUAUCCUUAUUUGCCAGCGCAUAAUGGCGGGAACUAUAAGGAGACUGCCGGUCAUAAACCGGAGGAAGGCGGGGACGAUGUCAAGUCAUCAUGGCCCUUAUGGGUAGGGCUACACACGUGAUACAAUGGGUGGUACAGAGGGUUGCCAAAGCGCGAGCUGGAGCCAAACCCUUAAACCAUUCUUAGUCCGGAUUGGAGUCUGCAACUCGACUCCAUGAAGUCGGAAUCGCUAGUAA